rnacentral:rRNA from 1 species
UACGUAGGGUGCUAGCGUUGUCCGGAUUUAUUGGGCGUAAAGGGCUCGUGGGCGGCGUGUCGCGUCGGGAGUGAAAGCCCGCUGCUUAACGGCGGGUUGGCUUCCGGUACGGGCAUCGCUGGAGUGCGGCAGGGGAGACUGGAAUUCCUGGUGUAGCGGUGAAAUGCGCAGAUAUCAGGAGGAACACCGGUGGCGAAGGCGGGUCUCUGGGCCGAUAUUGACGCUGAGGAGCGAAAGCGUGGGGAGCGAACAGG